rnacentral:rRNA from 1 species
UGGGGAAUUUUGGACAAUGGGCGCAAGCCUGAUCCAGCCAUGCCGCGUGCGGGAAGAAGGCCUUCGGGUUGUAAACCGCUUUUGUCAGGGAAGAAAUCUUCUGAGUUAAUACCUCGGGAGGAUGACGGUACCUGAAGAAUAAGCACCGGCUAACUACGUGCCAGCAGCCGCGGUAAUACGUAGGGUGCAAACGUUAAUCGGAAUUACUGGGCGUAAAGCGUGCGCAGGCGGUUUUGUAAGACAGAGGUGAAAUCCCCGGGCUCAACCUGGGAACUGCCUUUGUGACUGCAAGGCUUGAGUGCGGCAGAGGGGGAUGGAAUUCCGCGUGUAGCAGUGAAAUGCGUAGAUAUGCGGAGGAACACCGAUGG